UUAGGCUAGCAUGACCCUCUUAAUGGAUUGAGGGCGAAGCGAGGUAACUGGUGACCAGGCAAAUCCGGUCACUGCAAGGUGAAGACGUAACAGGUAAGUGAAGGAGCGAUCGAGUAGCGAAGCAUGUGAUGCCAGCUUCCAAGAAAAGCUUCUAGCAAUGCAUAUACGGCCCGUACCAAAACCGACACAGGUGGGCAGGGAGAGUAUCCCUAGGUGAGCGAGAGAACUGUUGCCAAGGAACUCGGCAAAAUGGCUCCGUAAGUUAGCAAGAAGGAGCGCUCGAAAGAGCCGCAGUGAAAAGGCCCAAGCGACUGUUUAACUAAAACAUAGCUCUCUGCGAAGCCGCAAGGCGAAGUAUAGGGGGUGACACCUGCCCGGUGCUGGAAGGUUAAGAGGAUCUGUGAAUCGCAAGAGGAAGCAGUGAGUUGAAGCCCCAGUGAACGGCGGCCGUAACAAUAACGGUCCUAAGGUAGCGAAAUUCCUUGUCAGGUAAGUUCUGACCCGCACGAAAGGUGUAACGAUUUGGGCGCUGUCUCGGCAGCAGACUCGGUGAAAUCUUAGUACCUGUGAAAAUGCAGGUUACCCGCAACUAGACGGAAAGACCCCAUGGAGCUUUACUGUAGCUUGAUAUUGAACUUUGGUCGUACCUGUACAGGAUAGGUGGGAGACAUAGAGACGUGCACGCCAGUGUAUGAGGAGUCGCCGUUGGGAUACCACUCUUGUGCGAUCGGAGUUCUAACCCAGGUCCAUGAAACUGGAUCGGGGACCGUGUCAGGCAGGCAGUUUGACUGGGGCGGUCGCCUCCCAAAGAGUAACGGAGGCGCCCAAAGGUACGCUCAGAUUGGAUGGAAACCAAUCAUUGAGUGCAAUUGCAGAGGCGUGCUUGACUGUGAGACAAACAAGUCGAACAGGGACGAAAGUCGGGAAUAGUGAUCCGGCGGUGCCGAAUGGAAGGGCCGUCGCUCAACGGAUAAAAGCUACCCUGGGGAUAACAGGCUGAUCUCGCCAAGAGUUCACAUCGACGGCGAGGUUUGGCACCUCGAUGUCGGCUCAUCGCAUCCUGGAGCUGGAUUCGGUUCCAAGGGUUGGGCUGUCCGCCCAUUAAAGCGGUACGCGAGCUGGGUUCAGAACGUCGUGAGACAGUUCGGUCCCUAUCUGUUGUGGGCGUUGGAGAUUUGAGGAGAGCUGUCCUUAGUACGAGAGGACCGGGAUGGACCUACCACUGGUGCACCAGUUGUUCUGCCAAGAGCAUAGCUGGGUAGCUAAGUAGGGAAAGGAUAAGCGCUGAAAGCAUCUAAGCACGAAACCUACUCCAAGAUGAGAUCUCCCAACAAGUAAGACCCCUUAAAGACGAUAAGGUAGAUAGGCCAGAGAUGGAAGUGUAGAGAUACAUGGAGUUGACUGGUACUAAUCGGUCGAGGACUUAACC
rnacentral:rRNA from 1 species